rnacentral:tRNA from 3 species
GCGCUCGUAGCUCAGCUGGAUAGAGUACCUGGCUACGAACCAGGCGGUCAGAGGUUCGAAUCCUCUCGAG